GGCUAUACUAAAUCAUAUAAAAUACCCCUUAAAAAAAAUAAUUAUACACUAAUUUUAUUAAAUAUUAAAACAUAAGUACUAAAAAGGAAAAGAUAUCAAUUUUAAGUAGUGUUAAUCCACGUACCUUGUGCAUUAUGGUUUUACAAGCUAAAAAUUAAAAAAUAUACUCCCGAAUCCUACGCGAGCUGCUCACCUAUAGCUAUAGAGCCCACUACUAGUUGUAGCAACAACUUUAGAAAAUAUGUUGGCAGAGGCUACAUACCACCCGCGCUAGUAAAUCGCUGGUUUUCAGUAAAAUUUAUUUAUUAAAACAUGUAGCACAUCUACAGUGUAAGAUUUCAGAGGAUAAGCCCUGUAAUCUCAAGCUAAUUCCUAUAUUACAUUAAUAGUUAGGCCUAAAAUCAGCCACCUCAAAUACUUUACCGUAUUAUAUUAUACCCAAUAACUAGCUCUCACUAUGCUUCCAUAAACUGAAAAUUAAGAUAAACCUCAAAUCCUAAAAUACUCUGUAAAAAUAAGUAUUAUAAAAUAAUCAAGAACUUCAUUAAAACUAUAAAUCAAUUUAACAAAUAAACACUUAUAAAGGAACUCGGCAAAUACUUAUUU
rnacentral:rRNA from 1 species